rnacentral:rRNA from 1 species
AUUGAACGCUGGCGGCAGGCCUAACACAUGCAAGUCGGACGAGUGGCGGACGGGUGAGUAAUGUAUGGGCCACUGCCUGAUGGAGGGGGAUAACUCCUGGAAACAGUAGCUAAUACCGCAUACCAUCGGAUGUGCCCAAAUGGGAUAAGCGAGUAGGUGGGGUAAAGGCUCACCUAGGCGACGAUCCCUAGCUGGUCUGAGAGGAUGAACAGCCACACUGGAACUGAGACACGGUCCAGACUCCUACGGGAGGCAGCAGUGGGGAAUAGUGCACAAGGGGCGCAAGCCUGAUGCAGCCAUGCCGCGUGGAUGAAGAAGGCCUUCGGGUUGUAAAGUACUUUCAGCGGGGAGGCGUUACCCGCAGAAGAAGCACCGGCUAACUCCGUGCCAGCAGCCGCGGUAAUAC